rnacentral:rRNA from 1 species
ACGACGCUGGCGGCGUGCUUAACACAUGCAAGUCGAACGGAGAUUAUUAAUGAAGCUUGCGUAUUUAAUAAUCUUAGUGGCGGACGGGUGAGUAACGCGUGGGCAACCUACCCAUAAGCGGGGGAUAACAGUUGGAAACGACUGCUAAUACCGCAUAAGCUAUUGAGGUCGCAUGACCUAAAUAGUAAAGGUGGCGAAAGCUAUCACUUAUGGAUGGGCCCGCGUCUGAUUAGCUAGUUGGUGGGAUAGCAGCCUACCAAGGCAACGAUCAGUAGCCGGCCUGAGAGGGUGGACGGCCACACUGGGACUGAGACACGGCCCAGACUCCUACGGGAGGCAGCAGUGGGGAAUAUUGCGCAAUGGGGGAAACCCUGACGCAGCGACGCCGCGUGAGCGAAGAAGGCCUUAGGGUCGUAAAGCUCUGUUGUAAGGGACGAAUGUUUAUCUGGCGAACAGUCAGAUAAAGUGACGGUACCUUACCAGCAAGCCCCGGCUAACUACGUG